rnacentral:rRNA from 1 species
GACGAACGCUGGCGGCGUGCUUAACACAUGCAAGUCGAACGGAAAGGCCCUGCUUUUGUGGGGUGCGCGAGUGGCGAACGGGUGAGUAACACGUGAGUUACCUGCCCUUGACUUUGGGAUAACUUCAGGAAACUGGGGCAAAUUCCGGAUAGCAGCGCCGGCUGUAUGGUGGGGGUUGGAAUGUUUACGCGGGUGGGGAUGGACGCGCGGCUUAUCAGCUUGUUGGUGGGGUAGUGCCUUACCGAGGCUUUGACGGGUAGCCGGCAUGAGAGGGUGACCGGCCACAGUGGGACGGAGCUGCGGCCCAGCCUACUGGGGGAGGCAGCAGUGAGGAAUAGUGCACAAUGGGCGGAAGGCUGAUGCAGCAACGCCGCGUGCAGGAUGACGGCCUUCGUGUUGUAAACCGCUUUCGCCUGUGACGAAGUGUGAGUGACGGUAGUGGGUAAAGAAGCACCGGCUAACUACGUG